rnacentral:rRNA from 1 species
CUUCCGUAGGUGAACCUGCGGAGGGAUCAUUACCGAGUUAUACAACUCAUCAACCCUGUGAACAUACCUAAAACGUUGCCUCGGCGGGAACAGACGGCCCCGUAACACGGGCCGCCCCCGCCAGAGGACCCCCUAACUCUGUUUCUAUAAUGUUUCUUCUGAGUAAACAAGCAAAUAAAUUAAAACUUUCAACAACGGAUCUCUUGGCUCUGGCAUCGAUGAAGAACGCAGCGAAAUGCGAUAAGUAAUGUGAAUUGCAGAAUUCAGUGAAUCAUCGAAUCUUUGAACGCACAUUGCGCCCGCCAGUAUUCUGGCGGGCAUGCCUGUUCGAGCGUCAUUACAACCCUCAGGCCCCCGGGCCUGGCGUUGGGGAUCGGCGGAAGCCCCCUGCGGGCACAACGCCGUCCCCCAAAUACAGUGGCGGUCCCGCCGCAGCUUCCAUUGCGUAGUAGCUAACACCUCGCAACUGGAGAGCGGCGCGGCCACGCCGUAAAACACCCAACUUCUGAAUGUUGACCUCGAAUCAGGUAGGAAUACCCGCUGAACUUAAGCAUAUCAAUAAGCGGAGGAA